AACGAACGCUGGUGGCGGGCCUAAUACAUGCAAGUCGAACGAGAAAGCUUCUUCGGAAGUGAUUAAAGUGGCGCACGGGUGAGUAACACGUAGGUGACCUACCCUUCAGUGGGGGACAACCCGGGGAAACUCGGGCUAAUACCGCAUAAGCUGAGGUACUUGAAAAACUCAGGAAAGAUUUAUCGCUGAAGGCAGGGCUUGCGGAUCAUUAGCUUGAUGGUGGGGUAAUGGCCUACCAUGGCUACGAUGAAUAGCUGGUCUGAGAGGAUGAUCAGUCACACUGGAACUGAGACACGGUCCAGACUCCUACGGAGGCAGCAGUAGGGAUAUUGCGCAAUGGGGGAAACCCUGACGCAGCCAGCCACGUGAGUGAGGAAGGCCUUCGGGUUGUAAAGCUCUGUCAGUAGGGAAAAAUGG
rnacentral:rRNA from 1 species